rnacentral:rRNA from 1 species
GACGAACGCUGGCGGCGUGCUUAACACAUGCAAGUCGAACGAAGUGGCGAACGGGUGAGUAACGCGUAAUCAACCUGCCCUUCAGAGGGGUACAACAGUUGGAAACGACUGCUAAUACCGCAUACUGAAGGAGGGGAUUGCGUCUGAUUAGCUGGUUGGAGGGGUAACGGCGCACCAAGUCGAUGAACAGUAGCCGGUCUGAGAGGAUGAACUGCUACAUUGGGACUGAGACACGGUCCAGACUCCUACGGGAGGCAGCAGGGGAGAAUAUUGGACAAUGGGGGAAAGCCUGAUCCAGCCAUGCCGCGGGUGUGAAGAAGGUCAUUGGAUUGUAAAGCGCUUUAAGUUGGGAGCGUUACCAACAGAAUAAGCACCGGCUAACUUCGUGCCAGCAGCCGCGGUAAUAC